AAAAAAAUCUGUAGACAACACUCAGGAUCAAUGCUGAAAGAUUGGAUCGUAGCCAGUUAAUAAUUAAUAAAUUAUAACUAUACAAUAAGCAGAAAAUCAUUAUCGUAUUUAGAGAUAAAGCAAUUGUAAUCAAAUACCUAGGUUUGAAAGAAAAUCUACCUGGGAGCUGAGCCAUUGCCGAGAUUGAAGCCUCGUAUACAAAGGAGAUAUGUACAAAAGAGUAGAAC
rnacentral:lncRNA from 1 species